rnacentral:rRNA from 1 species
UACAGAGGUCUCAAGCGUUGUUCGGAUUCAUUGGGCGUAAAGGGCGCGUAGGCGGCGGGGUAAGUCGGGUGUGAAAUCUCAGGGCUCAACCCUGAAACUGCACUCGAUACUGCUCUGCUUGAGGACUGGAGAGGAGACUGGAAUUCAUGGUGUAGCAGUGAAAUGCGUAGAGAUCAUGAGGAAGACCAGUGGCGAAGGCGGGUCUCUGGACAGUUCCUGACACUGAGACACGAAGGCCAGGGGAGCAAAACGGGG